rnacentral:rRNA from 1 species
GAUGAACGCUGGCGGCGUGCUUAACACAUGCAAGUCGAACGGGAUCCCAGGGGUGCUUGCCCUUUUUGGUGAGAGUGGCGAACGGGUGAGUAACACGUGAGUAACCUGUCCUUUUCUUUGGGAUAAGCAUUCGAAAGGGUGUUUAAUACCUUAUGUUCUGUCUGCCUCGCAUGGGGUGGGUGGGAAAGGCUUUGGCCGGAUUUGGGUGGGCUCGCGGUCUAUCAGCUUGUUGGUGGGGUGAUGGCUUACCAAGGCUUUGACGGGUAGCCGGCCGGAGAGGGUGGUCGGUCACAUUGGGACUGAGAUACGGCCCAGACUCCUGCAGGGGGCAGCAGUGGAGGAUAUGGCACAAUGGGCGAAAGCCUGAUGCAGCGACGCCGCGUGGGGGAUGAAGGCCUUCGGGUUGUAAACUUCUUUUGCACUGAACAAGGCGCACUUUUGGGUGUGUUGAGUGUAGGGAUGGAUUAGCGCCGGCUAACUACGUG